UUGCAGUGAUGAUAUCAUCAAACUUGAUAGUAUGUACCAAUGCUACAUCAAACGUCGACAACUAUGUCGACCUGAGCGGUUAAUCGAGCAA
rfam:Cucumis melo, WGS project CAJI01000000 data, contig: 17483